UGUACAGGCGUCUUUCUUUUCACUCUGUCAUUCAGGUUGUGGAGUAACUACCAUGUUGUUCAUCCAUCCUCAGUUUCCUCCCAUCACAGCCAUUAAACUCUGUCAUUAGGUUGGUAUUGUGGAGUAACUACCAUGUUGUUCAUCCAUCCUCAGUUUCCUCCCAUCACAGCCAUUAAACUCUGUCAUUAGGUUGGUAUUGUGGAGUAACUACCAUGUUGUUCAUCCAUCCUCAGUUUCCUCCCAUCACAGUCAUUAAACUCUGUCAUUAGGUUGGUAUUGUGGAGUAACUACCAUGUUGUUCAUCCAUCCUCAGUUUCCUCCCAUCACAGUCAUUAAACUCUGUCAUUAGGUUGGUAUUGUGGAGUAACUACCAUGUUGUUCAUCCAUCCUCAGUUUCCUCCCAUCACAGCCAUUAAACUCUGUCAUUAGGUUGGUAUUGUGGAGUAACUACCAUGUUGUUCAUCCAUCCUCAGUUUCCUCCCAUCACAGCCAUUAAACUCUGUCAUUAGGUUGGUAUUGUGGAGUAACUACCAUGUUGUUCAUCCAUCCUCAGUUUCCUCCCAUCACAGCCAUUAAACUCUGUCAUUAGGUUGGUAUUGUGGAGUAACUACCAUGUUGUUCAUCCAUCCUCAGUUUCCUCCCAUCACAGCCAUUAAACUCUGUCAUUAGGUUGGUAUUGUGGAGUAACUACCAUGUUGUUUAUCCAUCCUCAGUUUCCUCCCAUCACAGCCAUUAAACUCUGUCAUUAGGUUGGUAUUGUGGAGUAACUACCAUGUUGUUUAUCCAUCCUCAGUUUCCUCCCAUCACAGCCAUUAAACUCUGUCAUUAGGUUGGUAUUGUGGAGUAACUACCAUGUUGUUUAUCCAUCCUCAGUUUCCUCCCAUCACAGCCAUUAAACUCUGUCAUUAGGUUGGUAUUGUGGAGUAACUACCAUGUUGUUCAUCCAUCCUCAGUUUCCUCCCAUCACAGCCAUUAAACUCUGUCAUUAGGUUGGUAUUGUGGAGUAACUACCAUGUUGUUCAUCCAUCCUCAGUUUCCUCCCAUCACAGCCAUUAAACUCUGUCAUUAGGUUGGUAUUGUGGAGUAACUACCAUGUUGUUCAUCCAUCCUCAGUUUCCUCCCAUCACAGCCAUUAAACUCUGUCAUUAGGUUGGUAUUGUGGAGUAACUACCAUGUUGUUCAUCCAUCCUCAGUUUCCUCCCAUCACAGCCAUUAAACUCUGUCAUUAGGUUGGUAUUGUGGAGUAACUACCAUGUUGUUUAUCCAUCCUCAGUUUCCUCCCAUCACAGCCAUUAAACUCUGUCAUUAGGUUGUAGAGUAACUACCAUGUUGUUCAUCCAUCCUCAGUUUCCUCCCAUCACAG